GGGCCGUUGGCUUAGUCUGGUAGAGCAAUGGACUCUUAAUCCAUCGGUCGGGGGUUCGAAUCCCUCACGGCCCG
rnacentral:tRNA from 2 species